CGGGUCGGAGCUUGUCGAACCUUCUGCAUCGUUGGAGCUCUCGCCUUCCACGGGCUCUGCCCAGACGGCGAGCUCUCGACAGUAAAGUCCGCAGGCCACAGUUGGAGCGAUCCCUGGCGAGGGGUCGGCUCCGCUGGACUGGUUGAUGCUUCUGCAGACAUGAAGUGGCAAAUCAUUCUUCAGCCCAUGCAGACCACGGCAAAGUGUUUUUCCAUGACUCAGACCAAGAGAAAACCCAACGAGUUCCCCUUUUCUCAAACCAGAUUGUGAAAGUCACAAGGACAAUGAAACAUUCUCUUGAACCAUGAGGCCCGCAGCUGAAGAACCUACACUUCAAAACGGAAGAGUCGAAAAGGAGAGACAGGACUCUGCAAAAUAUGAAUUUUUAAAUUUAUUUGGCUGACAAGACCAUAUUUUUCAUCUCCAGUUGUCUUUGGAAAGAAUUGACACACUUCUUGGAAACAUUCAAAGUUACUCAGAUACUGAAUAGUUAUUUCUCAUGACAGGAAAGCCCAGUACAUCAGGUUCUAAUAAUAAUAAUAAGAAGAAAUGUUAUUUAUGGGCGCCUUUCAAGAGUCUCAAAAGACACCUUACAAAAAUUUAGCAUGUAGAGGAAAAACAUGUAAGGGGAAUUAAAUAAAUAGUAGAGACAUGACUAGUACACAAAGUAAAGACAGAAUUCAAUUCAAAACACAAUAUGAGGCAAUUAAUGCACAGAUGAAAAAAUAAUCUCAUCAUUUCAAACUAAGAUGAGGAAAUUUUGUUGGGAUUGUCGAACUUUGGAAUCCUCCUCUGCGGAUAGUAGAAUGCACUCGGAUGAAGAAUGCAUUCAAGGACGGGAUUUUAGGGAAUUGAGGCCACAAAGCUGGAAAGUCUGACGAACGUUCCCAACCUGAAAAGUCGCCUAACCACAUCCUCCAGAGAUGUUGCAUGACCCACUGAUUAACUGCAGCACUUAUACUCCACGCAAGAUUCCAGCAUCUGCAGUUCCUUGUGUUCACAUAAAGCUGGCCUUGCCAAAGGAAUUGAUGUUGGAAUUCCAUCAGGACUCCUUCAAAUGUUGGCGCAGUCCCACUUAAAGAGGAAUGGAGAAUCAACUCCCGAAUGUGAGCUACGUCCCAUGUAGGGCAAGGAAGUGUCUUUCUUGGCCAGAAAUUACAAAGAACCUGCUGAGAUUUAAAUCAGGUCAUUCAUUGCACCUCCCAUUUCACCUGAUCUUGGACCCUUGCCUGUACCAGUGUGUCCUAAUUCUUCCACGUACUUCACCCUCAAACCCUAGCACUCUCUCUAUUCCCCCUCGUUCCUUUACAUCUCAGCCCAGUCAGUGGAAGAGUGUCUGGGAUUUGACCAGGGUAACAUUCAGCACUAUGUAGAAACAAGGAACUGCAGAUGCUGGUUUACAAAAGACACAAAGUACUGGAGUAACUCAGCAGAUCAGGCAGCAUCCCUGGAGAACAUGGAUAUGUGACGUUUGGGGCCCUCGCUGGAGUUUAGAAGGAUGAGGGGGUGCCUCAUUGAAACUUACUAAAUAGUGAAAGGCCUGGAUGGAGUGGAUGUGGAGAGGAUAUUUCACUAGUCUAGUUCCACUGGAGUCUAGAACCAAUGGACACAACCUCAGAAUAAAAGGACGUUUAUUUAGAAAGGAAAUGAGGAGGAAUUUAUUUAGUCGGAGGCUGGUGAACCAGUGGAAUUCAUUGCCCCAGAGGGCUGUGAAGGCCAAUUCAUUGGGUAUUUAAGGCGGAGAUUAACAGAUACUUGAUUGGUAAGGGUCUUGGGGAGAAGGCAGAGCAAUGGGGUUGAGAGGGGAAUGAUAGAUCAGCCAUGAUUGAAUGGCAGAGUAGAAUUAAUGGGCUAUGUUAGCUCCUAUGACUUAUGAACUUAUGGGUCAGGACCCUACUUGAGAUAGCAACCCUGAAGUAUGCCAGCUAUACAGAUCUUUCCUGGAUUCAGCUUUAAGGAAAAUAAACUGACUCUAUAAAUGUAACUUUCUUAGCUUGCUGCAUUGAGAUAUAAAUUCCCAGUUGUCAGUCAAGUGCUCGAUCAAAAUAGGUUGCUUCAAUGAAAGAGUUGGCAUCGUAGCCAGAGUGCACUGAGCAGCGUUCCGUGCAGAAUAUCCCGCUGUGUCCAGCCAAGCCCUCCAUCUCCAUCCUUUUCAGGAAGGGCCCUAUUGUGUCUGUUACACUUCUGCUGAUCAAGGCUUUGAGCGUUGUAAAAAUUUACCUCAGAUUCAGGCGCAAGAGGAAGGGAAGGUGUGUGGUUUGAGACUUGGUGAAAGUGGUGAGAUGCAUCGUUAGAGGCCACAGUUCGACUUCCCGCUCCUGCACGAGCAAGCGAGAAAGUCUUGGUUUGGCCUGACUCAUUGCCAAAAGUUUGCUUUCACAUUAACUGUGGUCUUAACUGAAAAAAAAAAAAAAUCAGCCAAGAAAACUUAAUGUGCAGGCAGAUAAGUUUAGUUUAUCUUAGUUAGCAUCACAGAUAUUGGGGGCCAAAGGGCUUGUUCCUGUGCUGUACUGUUCCAUCUUCUAUAAUCUCCAGCUGUACCUCUGCUCAUGAUCUGUGCUUUCCCCAAUGAACCUUCCACCCAACCCUGAUUUUUAUCACUACAUUUGCACCCUUUAGCUGACCAUUCCUCAAACUCUUGAAUUAUCGGUCCGCCACCAUUUCUCUUCCCACGCCUUCUCCUUGCCACUCUUUUAACUCUUUCUUACCUCCCCUAAUAUCUCUGUGCCUGACCUUUGGUUGAUAACACUCCCGUGAAAACUCGUGUGACAUUUGCUAUAUUCAACAUACUAACCACAUAGAAGUGGUUAUUAAUACAGAGGACCCAGUUUGCACUAGAUAUCAGCUUACACUUUAUACUCUCGUUAACUAGUAUAACUGAUAAUGUAUUGUUUAUGGGAUAUUUAUUUGGUGUUGUUGUUGCAUUUAAUGUGCCUGUAAAGCUGCAGCAAGAAAGAAUGUAAUUGUUCCGUUCCUGGUGCAGGUGACAAUUAAACACUCUUGACCCCAAUGUUUAAUAGUAGAUCCCAACAACCGGCUGGAUCAUGUGCUCAGAUAGAUAUAGGCACAGGACAUGCAUGGACACCAAUGCUGCCCAAAGCCUCAGUAAUCAGUAAAGAAAAUAUUUCCUUAAUAAAAUGCAAUUAAUAUUGUGGAACAAUCUGGGAGGGUUCACAAUAGUUUCACAAAACACGACGAUGGGACAGGAGCUAUUGCUCACUUAGGUAGAUUGAGAGGAGCAUUUUCAAGCAGGUCAGAGAGAGGAAGAUCUUUACGAAGGGAGUCCCAGAUCCUGAGUCCUUGGCAGCAGAAAUAGGAGCACCAAUGGUGUGGCACAGAUUCCCAAUCCCAGAUACCCAGGAGGAUAGAUGGGAUGGAGGAACGAUAACAUGGGGGAAGGGUGAGCAAUAGAGGGAUUGGAAAAAGUGUUAGUAAUGUUGAUGGCUGAUUAGGAAAAGGGGAGAUGCAACGAGACCUGGGUGUCAUGGUACACCAAUCAUUGAAAGUAGGCAUGCAGGUGCAACAGGCAGUGAAGAAAGCGAAUGGUAUGUUAGCAUUCAUAGCAAAAGGAUUUGAGUAUAGGAGCAGGGAGGUUCUACUGCAGUUGUACAGGGUCUUGGUGACACCACACCUGGAGUAUUGCAUACAGUUUUGGUCUCCAAAUCUGAGGAAACAUUCUUGCCAUAGAGGGAGUACAGAGAAGGUUCACCAGACUGAUUCCUGGGAUGUCAGGACUUUCAUAUGAAGAAAGACAGGAUAGAUUUGGCUUGUACUCGCUAGAAUUUAGAAAAUUGAGGGGGGAUCUUAUAGAAACUUACAAAAUUCUUAACGGGUUGGACAGGCUAGAUGCAGGAAGAUUGUUCCCGAUGUUGGGGAAGUCCAGGACAAGGGAUCACAGCUUAAGGAUAAGGGGGAAAUCCUUUAAAACCGAGAUGAGAAAAACUUUUUUCACACAGAGAGUGGUGAAUCUCUGGAACUCUCUGCCACAGAGGGUAGUUGAGGCCAGUUCAUUGGCUAUAUUUAAGAGGGAGUUAGAUGUGGCCCUUGUGGCUAAAGGGACCAGGGGGUAUGGAGAGAAGGCAGGUAUAGGAUACUGAGUUGGAUGAUCAGCCAUGAUCAUAUUGAAUGGCGGUGCAGGCUCGAAGGACCGAAUGGCCUACUCCUGCACCUAUUUUCUAUGUUUCUAUGAAGUUGUGAUCUUACUAGAGUGGGAGCCAUUGUAUGUCAGUGAACACGUGGGCACUAGAUGGACAAGGCUUGAUGUGAGUUGGGCAACAGGAAACAGCAGUUGGAAUGGUACCACACUUAGGAAGAGUAGAAAUAGCUAACUGGCCAGGGAGGUCAUUGGAAUAAUGCUGAGUGUGGAACUAGGAAAGAGGUUGAGGAGGACCCAGCCUCAGAGCAGCAUCAGGUACCGUUUUGGAGGUGGAACGGUAAGGAUGAUAAUUGGUGUCAACAACAACUUUGUAAAUACUGUAGCUUCAGGAUGCAUUAGACGGUUAUGGAUGUAGUGGCAUAACAACAGUCUUGGCUGCUACCUUUCCAAUUCAAAUUACAUAUAAUGUGACCCAGGCUCAAAUUGCUACUCUGUUCUUUUCUCCUGAGAUUGGAUGAAGGAAUCUGUUGACUUAGCCCACUGAGGCGCCCAUAAGACCACGAUAAAUUGCAACAUGAUGGGGAUUUUUUGGGGGUUAACGUCAGCUAUGAAUUAGUAUUGAAUGGCUAGGCAUAGCUGCCAUGUAGUACGGAUUUUCCGUAUUUCGUACGGAAAUGCAAUACAAAUACGGAAAUACAGACUUUAAAAAGAAAAAAACGACCAUGGAUAAUCGUUACGAGUCACCGCUGCACCGGCCAUGAGACGAAAACGAUUUGUUAACUACCACUAUUAGCAGUUGUUGACAGCCAGUAGUUAACACGUAGUUAUACAAUGUGUCAUUAAUACAUCGAUCCACAUUCCUCAGUAAAUGUAAUUGUGUGCCAAGUGUUAAUGACGUCGCGUUCCUUUGAAUAAAAUUCACGGGAGAAUUUCUUAAAACUCUCUGUCAUUGAGGGCUCUGGACCAUGAGCACGGGCUUCUUCCUGGUGUGCAGGUAAAGUCGUUCACCCAUGUUGUUUUUAAGAAGGAACUGCAGAUGCUGGAGCAAACAAAGGUAGACAGAAAUGCUGGAGAAACUCAGCAGGUGAGACAAAAAUGCUGGAGAAACUCAGUUGGGAGACAAAAAGGCUGGAGAAACAGCGAGUGGGACAAAGUGCUGGAGAAAUUCAGCGGGUGAGACGCUGCCGUGAGAUUUUGUCUCACCCGCUGAGUUUCUCCAGCAUUUCUGCCUCACCCCCGCUGAGGGAGAGAGGAAGGGGUGAAGAGAGGGAGAGGAUGG